GCCCCCUUCGUCUAGCGGCCUAGGACACCGGCCUUUCACGCCGGCGGCGCGGGUUCGAAUCCCGUAGGGGGUA
rnacentral:tRNA from 1 species